rnacentral:rRNA from 1 species
GAUGAACGCUGGCGGCGUGCUUAACACAUGCAAGUCGAACGGAAAGGCCCAAGCUUGCUUGGGUACUCGAGUGGCGAACGGGUGAGUAACACGUGGGUGAUCUGCCCUGCACUUCGGGAUAAGCCUGGGAAACUGGGUCUAAUACCGGAUAGGACGAUGGUUUGGAUGCCAUUGUGGAAAGUUUUUUCGGUGUGGGAUGAGCUCGCGGCCUAUCAGCUUGUUGGUGGGGUAAUGGCCUACCAAGGCGUCGACGGGUAGCCGGCCUGAGAGGGGGUACGGCCACAGUGGGACUGAGAUACGGCCCAGAAGCCUACGGGAGGCAGCAGUGGGGAAUAUUGCACAAUGGGCGCAAGCCUGAUGCAGCGACGCCGCGUGGGGGAUGACGGCCUUCGGGUUGUAAACUCCUUUCGCUAGGGACGAAGCGUUUUUGUGACGGUACCUGGAGAAGAAGCACCGGCUAACUACGUG